CACGUAGGCACCAAGCGUUGUCCGGAUUUAUUGGGCGUAAAGAGCUCGUAGGCGGUUCGGUAAGUCGGGUGUGAAAACUCUGGGCUCAACCCAGAGAUGCCACUCGAUACUGCCGUGACUCGAGUGCGGUAGGGGAGCGGGGAAUUCCUGGUGUAGCGGUGAAAUGCGCAGAUAUCAGGAGGAACACCAGUGGCGAAGGCGCCGCUCUGGGCCGUAACUGACGCUGAGGAGCGAAAGCGUGGGGAGCGAGCAGG
rnacentral:rRNA from 1 species